ACUUCGGUCAAUUGAAGCUUUGACUUAGUGGCGGACGGGUGAGUAACGCGUGAGGAACCUGCCUUUCAGUGGGGGACAACAGUUGGAAACAGCUGCUAAUACCGCAUAAGCUCACAGAGCCACAUGGCUCAGAGAGAAAAACUCCGGUGGUACGAGAUGGACCCGCGUCUGAUUAGCCAGUUGGCAGGGUAACGGCCUACCAAAGCGACGAUCAGUAGCCGACCUGAGAGGGUGACCGGCCACAUUGGGACUGAGACACGGCCCAAACUCC
rnacentral:rRNA from 1 species